AGGAAGUGUUGCCUUGCUCUCUGUGUCCCUGAGAAAUUCUCUUCCUCCCUGCGAUGUUCCUUCCUCCUUCUUGCAGGCAGCUCUCUGUGGAACUGAACCAAACUAAAGGCUUACACUCCCUGCUGAUGGAGAACCGAGGAGAAGGAGGCAGGGGAGCACCCGUGAAAAGCACCUGCUAGGCUCACUAACUUGGGCGCCGCACGUGAUCGCGAUCACACGGAGACAAACAGCAAAGCCAGGAUACAAACCCAGGACACCAAGACAAGUACAUUUGCCCAAGAUCACCCAGCCAGCAGUGGGACCUUCAGCCCAGGUCUUUGGACACCAAGAGCCAUGCUCAUGCCCUUGGCCCACCCACUGCUCAGCAGAUUGGAA